rnacentral:rRNA from 1 species
GGGCCGUGGCGGGCAGCUACACAUGCAAGUCGAGCGGUAGCACAGAGAGCUUGCUCUCGGGUGACGAGCGGCGGACGGGUGAGUAAUGUCUGGGAAACUGCCUGAUGGAGGGGGAUAACUACUGGAAACGGUAGCUAAUACCGCAUAACGUCGCAAGACCAAAGUGGGGGACCUUCGGGCCUCAUGCCAUCAGAUGUGCCCAGAUGGGAUUAGCUAGUAGGUGGGGUAAUGGCUCACCUAGGCGACGAUCCCUAGCUGGUCUGAGAGGAUGACCAGCCACACUGGAACUGAGACACGGUCCAGACUCCUACGGGAGGCAGCAGUGGGGAAUAUUGCACAAUGGGCGCAAGCCUGAUGCAGCCAUGCCGCGUGUAUGAAGAAGGCCUUCGGGUUGUAAAGUACUUUCAGCGAGGAGGAAGGCGUUAAGGUUAAUAACCUUAGCGAUUGACGUUACUCGCAGAAGAAGCACCGGCUAACUCCGUGCCAGCAGCCGCGGUAAUACGGAGGGUGCAAGCGUUAAUCGGAAUUACUGGGCGUAAAGCGCACGCAGGCGGUCUGUCAAGUCGGAUGUGAAAUCCCCGGGCUCAACCUGGGAACUGCAUUCGAAACUGGCAGGCUAGAGUCUUGUAGAGGGGGGUAGAAUUCCAGGUGUAGCGGUGAAAUGCGUAGAGAUCUGGAGGAAUACCGGUGGCGAAGGCGGCCCCCUGGACAAAGACUGACGCUCAGGUGCGAAAGCGUGGGGAGCAAACAGGAUUAGAUACCCUGGUAGUCCACGCCGUAAACGAUGUCGACUUGGAGGUUGUGCCCUUGAGGCGUGGCUUCCGGAGCUAACGCGUUAAGUCGACCGCCUGGGGAGUACGGCCGCAAGGUUAAAACUCAAAUGAAUUGACGGGGGCCCGCACAAGCGGUGGAGCAUGUGGUUUAAUUCGAUGCAACGCGAAGAACCUUACCUACUCUUGACAUCCAGAGAACUUAGCAGAGAUGCUUUGGUGCCUUCGGGAACUCUGAGACAGGUGCUGCAUGGCUGUCGUCAGCUCGUGUUGUGAAAUGUUGGGUUAAGUCCCGCAACGAGCGCAACCCUUAUCCUUUGUUGCCAGCGGUCCGGCCGGGAACUCAAAGGAGACUGCCAGUGAUAAACUGGAGGAAGGUGGGGAUGACGUCAAGUCAUCAUGGCCCUUACGAGUAGGGCUACACACGUGCUACAAUGGCAUAUACAAAGAGAAGCGACCUCGCGAGAGCAAGCGGACCUCAUAAAGUAUGUCGUAGUCCGGAUUGGAGUCUGCAACUCGACUCCAUGAAGUCGGAAUCGCUAGUAAUCGUAGAUCAGAAUGCUACGGUGAAUACGUUCCCGGGCCUUGUACACACCGCCCGUCACACCAUGGGAGUGGGUUGCAAAAGAAGUAGGUAGCUUAACCUUCGGGAGGGCGCUACCACUUUGGAUUCAGGUGG